UUGAAGUCCAGCCCAAAUCCAGAACACAUCUCAGCUUGGGCUGAGAUUUGUUGGGCCCGUUUUAGGCCCGGCCCGAGUGUUCGCCGACGCCGCUGAAAAUUCGGAUUUCAGCUGCCGUCGCGCCAUCGUCGAGGUGAACUGGUUUCCGCAAUUAACCGGUGAGUUUAUUUACUAAACUCUUCUUAGUAGGCUAAUGACG
rnacentral:lncRNA from 1 species